rnacentral:rRNA from 1 species
GAUGAACGCUAGCGGCAGGCUUAACACAUGCAAGUCGAGGGGUAUUGGUUUUCGGACCAAGAGACCGGCGCACGGGUGCGUAACGCGUAUGCAAUCUACCUUUUGCAGAGGGAUAGCCCAGAGAAAUUUGGAUUAAUACCUCAUAGUAUAGUACUUUGGCAUCAAGGAACUAUUAAAGUCACAACGGCAAAAGAUGAGCAUGCGUCCCAUUAGCUAGUUGGUAAGGUAACGGCUUACCAAGGCUACGAUGGGUAGGGUCCUGAGAGGGAGAUCCCCCACACUGGUACUGAGACACGGACCAGACUCCUACGGGAGGCAGCAGUGAGGAAUAUUGGACAAUGGGCGCAAGCCUGAUCCAGCCAUGCCGCGUGCAGGAUGACGGUCCUAUGGAUUGUAAACUGCUUUUANACAGGAAGAAACACUCCGACGUGUCGGAGCUUGACGGUACUGUAAGAAUAAGGAUCGG